ensembl:lncRNA
UGGCAUAUUUCAUGAACUUUAUUUGCUGUUGUCAAUGUAAACAUCCGAUUGCUGUUGCGGCUCUGUUUUGUGAGUUCUGAUAUGUAACUACUCAAUGCCAUUGUUUGGUGUAAAUGAAGCUGCUUCCGUGGUCAUAGAUGAGGCCAAUGUAUCGGUCUGAUGAGCCCAUGAUGAUAUUCCCUGAAUGCAUGUCAGUUUCGUAGACAUAUCUCAUCCAAAAUAUGAGAUUGAAUAGCCAAUGUCAGAAUAUCUACGAUGGUUAAAUGUCACUGUUUUUUUUUACAUAUUCUAAUGGUACCAUGUUGGCAUGCAAACAUUUUUAUUACAGUCAUCUUUCUACAAAAUAAUAAAUAAAUAUUGUUCAUAAUAUACUCUAUAAUUAUUCUGUUUUAUAUACUAUACAUACUGCCUGCUAGGGUACUUGGCAAUUGUAACUGGCUUGUUGCUAUGAAUACCAGAUGCUGUGUGAAGUAAGAUGCAGGGGUUUUUCUAUAGUAAUUUCCAGGUGAUAAGCACAAAUAAACACACGGUUUAACACUGUCAAGUCUGUUUUCACGACUUCCUGGGCUGGUCAAAAGGAGUCAGGGGUUAAGAGGUCAAAGAUUCUGGGUCAGAGGUCAAAGGACAGCGUCCUGGAGGUUGCUCACUGCCAUCCUCCUGAGGGCCUUUCCGGACACUUCCAGCGGGUUCUCCAGUGAUUCUGACCUGACGUUCUUCUUGGAAGCCUUCUCCAGCAUGCGACUGGCCUCCUUCAGGGCUUUCUCUGUCCUCCGAGCCUUCUCUGUCUUCUCUACCCUCAGGGCUUUUCCCUGCUGGGACCCUUGGGCCAGCUUGGCCUCUUCCCCAGGUAAUCCUCCUGUUGACAUGUUAGAUUUGCUCUGAUCCUCCUCGAGGCGCUCUGCCCUCCUCAGACGCCUCUUUUUGCCGGUCUCCUGCUGGAACGGGCCGGCCGCAUGGCAUACGCUCUCCUCGCCACGUGGCGCCUGCUGGGCCUGAGCUUUGGUACUGACGGGGAAAGAGGCAGAGGGAGAGACUGGUUUGCUUCUAGGAGGAGGAUGGAGGUCUUUAAUGGUAGAGCCAAAAUCUUCUGAGAGCCUGCCUCCUGUGUGUCUCUGGAUUGGGUUGGCAUGAGCAAGCUCCUUUCUCAGAACCUUCUGCUGUCGCUGGACUCUGGGUGCUGUUUCAGUCAGGGGCAGGGGAUGUGGGGCUGGGGUGGAGACACACUCUGCCGCACCCUUAACCAGUUCUGGUCUCUCUCCUCUCACCCCACAGGCCUUCACCUUCCUGGGGCAGGGUUGGUCCCCCACCGUAGUGUCCAGUUUGCGGGAAACACCCUUGGCCUCCAGACCAAUCCCCUUCAUCUUCUGUCUCUGGGCCUUCUGUACCUCUCUGGGCAGCUCCAGAGGGGCCAGCUUCAGAGGCCGCCGCAGGGGCAGGUUCUCCCCCUCCCUCGCUCGGGAUGAGCCAGGCAGGAAAGACCUGAACAGGAAGGAAGGAAGGAAGGAAGGAAGGAAGGAAGGGAAGGAAGGAAGGAAGGAAGGAAGGAAGGAAGGAAGGAAGGAAGGAAGGAAGGAACCAACCAACCAACCAACCAACAAACAAACAAACAAACGAUUGCGUGAAUGAAUUAUUAUUAUUUUUCAUUUUUUCACAAAUGUAAGAUACAUGUAUAGCUGCCUCAGCCAAGAGAGCCAACAGUACAUAAUACAUACCUGACUAGGAGCGAGGAAUCUCUCUGGGUGGCAGGGCCCUCUUGGCCUAGCGUUGGCAGCAUGGCAGAGCCAGUCUUAAGCGGACCCACCAUCACCACCUCCUCUUCCCCUCCCUGUGUGGCUGACAGAUGGAGUUUAGGUAUUUUGGAAUUACAUACAUUUUUAGAAGCUAGCCGGUGGUUCUGGGCGGUGAGAUGCAUCAUGGUAUUUUUAGCCUGAGAGGUCAGCAGGUCUUCUGGUCGGGGCAAGACCUGUUUGACAAAUUCCUCUAGCUUGAAUUUUUGCCCGAAUAAUUUCUUCCCUGAGAGAGCCCAGGAGGAAAGGCUGUUGUUGUUGUUUUCACUUUCCGUGCUAUAUCCAGCACUGGGCUGAAAGCAGGGGUUGGGAUAACACUACAGUAAAAGGCAGGGCAGGUAGGUAGGUUUUAGUUGCUUGCUGACUGGCUAUAAGAACAUUAGGAGGAUUAGGGUCAGCAGGCAACAGGG